rnacentral:rRNA from 1 species
GUCCACGCCGUAAACGAUGGAUGUUAGUUGUCGGGAUUUCAUUCCGGUGACACAGUUAACACGUUAAACAUCCCGCCUGGGGAGUACGGUCGCAAGAUUAAAACUCAAAGGAAUUGACGGGGACCCGCACAAGCGGUGGAGUAUGUGGUUUAAUUCGAUGCAACGCGAAGAACCUUACCACCUUUUGACAUCCUGAUAGCUGUUAGCAGAAAAUGCUUUCGUCGGUUCGGCCGGAUCAGUGACAGGUGUUGCAUGGCUGUCGU